AGUGAACGCUGGCGGUAGGCCUAACACAUGCAAGUCGAACGGCAGCACAGUAAGAGCUUGCUCUUACGGGUGGCGAGUGGCGGACGGGUGAGGAAUACAUCGGAAUCUACUUUUUCGUGGGGGAUAACGUAGGGAAACUUACGCUAAUACCGCAUACGACCUACGGGUGAAAGCAGGGGAUCUUCGGACCUUGCGCGAUUGAAUGAGCCGAUGUCGGAUUAGCUAGUUGGCGGGGUAAAGGCCCACCAAGGCGACGAUCCGUAGCUGGUCUGAGAGGAUGAUCAGACACACUGGAACUGAGACACGGUCCAGACUCCUACGGGAGGCAGCAGUGGGGAAUAUUGGACAAUGGGCGCAAGCCUGAUCCAGCCAUACCGCGUGGGUGAAGAAGGCCGUCGGGGUGGAAAGCCCUUUUGUUGGGAAAGAAAAGCAGCAGGUUAAUACCCCGCUGUUCUGACGGGACCCAAAGAAUAAGCACCGGCUAACGUCG
rnacentral:rRNA from 1 species